rnacentral:rRNA from 1 species
UACGUAGGUGGCAAGCGUUAUCCGGAUUUACUGGGUGUAAAGGGCGUGUAGGCGGGACUGCAAGUCAGAUGUGAAACCCAUGGGCUCAACCCAUGGCCUGCAUUUGAAACUGUAGUUCUUGAGUGAUGGAGAGGCAGGCGGAAUUCCGUGUGUAGCGGUGAAAUGCGUAGAUAUCAUGAAGAACUCCGAUCGCGAAGGCAAGUGUCCGGGGUGCAACUGACGCUGAGGCUCGAAAGUGCGGGUAUCAAACAGG